AGCUGAGCCUGGCUAGGUAGUCAGGUGCCCAGAAGGGGGCAGGCCAGAACUAUAAAAACCCUGGGCUUGGCAGCAGUAGGGGUCGUGGCCAAAGGGGAAGGAGGUUGUGUGUGAGAGCUCCACAGAGAGGUGUGGCUGCUGGUCCAGCUGCUGUGAGAAGGGAACUGUUGCUGACUCUCAGAGAAACGGUGGCAGCACUGCAGGGAGGAGCAUCACAGGCAGCGGGGAAGCAGAAGCAUCAAGCCAUGAAGAACGUGUCCAGAGAGUCUUGUGCCAUCAGCACCCCAGGAAACUCCUGUGAGUCGUCCUUGUCUGGUGCUGCCUGCCAAGCCUGCUGCUCUGGUGUUUGCCCACCAGUGCCUCUGUGCCAGCACCAGAGCUUGGAGAACACUUGAUUGACAGACAAAUAAAAUGAAGAAUGAUGGAUACACAUAAUCUGUCUAAAUCUGUCAAGUCUGGUAUGACUGCCCUAAAUUACAAAUUGCCACAACGCACCCCAGUAGAACCUUCUGCAAGCAUGAGUGGACACUGUGCUUUUUGUCUAAGGACAGAUGACCGCAAAACCUGAAAAUGAUGCAAAGAUUGUAAGUGAUUUGCUUGUGUGCACCGCAGUGCAUCAGUGCUACUUUGUGAUGAAUGCAAUAUUUAGUUAAAACAGUUAGGAAAUGUUUUUGGAAAUAAUUGUUAGUUUGAAAACAGUGGGAACUGCAGACUUAGCAAAUUGUUCAUUCACAUUUUGAAACUCUAAAAAAAGUUUAAAUUUUGUUCAUGGUUCUAGUUAAAUAAUAUUUUGGGUUCAAAUCAUCAUAAAUACUCUUUCAAACAAUCUGUAUGUUUAAUAAAUAGUUUUUGGUACAUUUA